AGCUCCAAUAGCGUAUAUUAAAGUUGUUGCGGUUAAAAAGCUCGUAGUUGGAUUUCUGUUGAGGGCGGCGGGUCCGUACUUUGUGCGUGUAUCUUGCUCGGCCUUGGCAUCCUCUUGGGGAACGUAUCAAGACUUUACUGGCUUGUUGCGCGAUUCAAGACUUUUACUUUGAGGAAAUUAGAGUGUUCACGGCAAGCUAUCGCUUUGAAUACAUUAGCAUGGAAUAAUAAUAUAGGGCAUAAGUCUUAUUUUGUUGGUUUCUAGGACAUAUGCAAUGAUUAAUAGGGACAAUUGGGGGCAUUCGUAUUAACACGUCAGAGGUGGAAUUCUUAGAUUGUGUUACGACGAACUACUGCGAAAGCAUUUGCCAAGGAUGUUU
rnacentral:rRNA from 1 species